UAAAAGGUGCAGGAGUCCUGCCAUUCCACCUUCAUUGCAACGAUUAAAGGNGCAAGAGCCCCGCUUUCCUUUCCAUCUGGCUGACCAAUCAACCCCUGCAGAGCCUUUGUGGUUCUCCCAGCCAGCAAACAGCCUUCAAGCGUUAAAGCGAGGGAGCUGUGAACUUCCUAGAGAGGCCAAGUGUUGGGGAGGGGCAGCAGCUACUUCCUGCUCCAAUCCCCACUCCUUCUUUUCCCUUCUCCCGGGGACAAAAAGGGGGAGGCUUUUGACUUCUUAAAGACAUUUUGGGAGAUGCUGUUUCAACAAGUUCAAAAAGGUGUAAGAGGUCUAGUUUUGUGCGCAGUUUGGAAUCUGUACCCAGUUUCCCAUGCUUCUUUGGGACUUUAAGUUUGCUCUCCUUUCUUAUUGGAAGACAGCCCUGUCACAGGGAUCAAGAGAAGAAGCACCUGACAUAUUCCGUGAAGCAGCAAAGAUGUCCUUUGUCACUCAGAGACCUUUUUGCGGGUGGAUCAUGCAGGAAAAUGAUAUGGCUUCAACCUGGCUGGGUAAGGAUUCAUGGAGCAUCUCUCUAUAUAGUCUCCACACUGUAUGAAGAGGUGCUUAUUAAAGACCUAUCUUUUCACUCAGGUGCUUAUUAAAGACCCAACUUCUCACUCAGGUGCUUAUUAAAGGCCUACCUUUUAACUCAA
rnacentral:lncRNA from 1 species